GUGCUCAUUUCAGCAGCACACCUACUAAAAUUGGUUCAAUGCAGAGAAGAUUAGCAUGAGGCCCUGCACAAAGAUGACAUGCAAAUUCAUGAAGCAUUCCUUAUUUUU